rnacentral:rRNA from 1 species
CGUACACUCCUACGGGAGGCAGCAGUGGGGAAUAUUGCACAAUGGGCGCAAGCCUGAUGCAGCCAUGCCGCGUGUAUGAAGAAGGCCUUCGGGUUGUAAAGUACUUUCAGCGGGGAGGAAGGCGAUAAGGUUAAUAACCUUGUUGAUUGACGUUACCCGCAGAAGAAGCACCGGCUAACUCCGUGCCAGCAGCCGCGGUAAUACGGAGGGUGCAAGCGUUAAUCGGAAUUACUGGGCGUAAAGCGCACGCAGGCGGUCUGUCAAGUCGGAUGUGAAAUCCCCGGGCUCAACCUGGGAACUGCAUUCGAAACUGGCAGGCUAGAGUCUUGUAGAGGGGGGUAGAAUUCCAGGUGUAGCGGUGAAAUGCGUAGAGAUCUGGAGGAAUACCGGUGGCGAAGGCGGCCCCCUGGACAAAGACUGACGCUCAGGUGCGAAAGCGUGGGGAGCAAACAGGAUUAGAUACCCGUGUAGUCCCA